GAACGAUGCUUUCGGGCAUAGUGGCGCACGGGUGCGUAACGCGUGGGAAUCUGCCCUUUGGUUCGGAAUAACCGUUAGAAAUGACGGCUAAUACCGGAUGAUGACGUAAGUCCAAAGAUUUAUCGCCAGAGGAUGAGCCCGCGUAGGAUUAGCUAGUUGGUGUGGUAAGAGCGCACCAAGGCGACGAUCCUUAGCUGGUCUGAGAGGAUGAUCAGCCACACUGGGACUGAGACACGGCCCAG
rnacentral:rRNA from 1 species